rnacentral:rRNA from 1 species
CGUAAAUAAUCUACCCUGAUGUUUGGGAUAACCAGCCGAAAGGCUGACUAAUACCGGAUACAUGAUUGGCUGUCGGGCCAAUCAGGAAAGAUGGCCUCUUCUUGAAAGCUAUCGCAUUGGGAUGAGUUUGCGUACCAUUAGCUAGUUGGUGGGGUAAAGGCCCACCAAGGCAACGAUGGUUAGCGGGUCUGAGAGGAUGAUCCGUCACACUGGCACUGGAACACGGGCCAG